GGCAAACCGAAGAUGAAUCUUUUGUA
rnacentral:piRNA from 1 species